AAUAACUAGAAUUGCCAUUGCAAGCAAUAGCGGAUGUCACCCUGGUCUGCCAAUUGACACUAAACAGCAGCCAUUUCGAAAUUGUACAUUAGUGAAUGCAGAUUUUUGCAUGACAACAGAUAUUUCUGUUUUAAAUUCCAAUGAAUUUGGAGCAUUGAGAUAUUUUUUGUAUUUUUGCUGUUUCCAUGGUAACGGUCGCCAUUUCAAAAAUUCCAAAGUCAAACUACUGC
rnacentral:lncRNA from 1 species